rnacentral:pre_miRNA from 1 species
CACGGGGUGGGGGGGUCCCUCAGCCUGGAUUGUGAGAGGGCAUAGGCCAGGCUGAGGGACCCCAUAGGUGCAUG